GAUGAACGCUGACGGCAUGCUUAACACAUGCAAGUCAAGCGUGGUGCACGGGUGAGUAACGCGUAAAGAACUAGCCUCGCAGAUAGGGACAACAUUUGGAAACGAAUGAUAACACGUGACACUGCGGGAGGGUUUUGCGUCGCAUUAGCUAGUUGGAGAGGUAACGGCUCACCAAGGCGAUGAUGGGUAGCCGGCCUGAGAGGGUGAUCGGCCACAAGGGGACUCAGAAGCGGCCCUUACGCCUACGGGAGGCAGCAGUGGGAAAUAUUGAACAAUGGACCAAAGUCUGAUGCAGGAAUUCUGUGUGCACGGUGAUGUUUUCGGGAUGAAAAGAGUUGUGAGUUGGGAAUCGGUACCAACAGAAGAAGUGACGGCUAAAUACGUGCCAGCAGCCGCGGUAAUAC
rnacentral:rRNA from 1 species